AGAUCAAAUUGUUGGUCGUGCCUUGGUACGUACUGACAUUAUUGAUUUCUCCCUUCUGAAGAACCAUGAUGUCAUUAAUUUGGUGUCUUGGGGAAUCAGGACUGUUACUUUGAAAAAAUUAGAGUGUUUAAAGCAAGCUCGCGCUUGAAUACAUUAGCAUGGAAUAAUGAAAUAGGACGUUUAAUUCUAUUUUGUUGGUUUCUAGGAUUGACGUAAUGAUUAAUAGGGAUAGUUG
rnacentral:rRNA from 1 species